rnacentral:rRNA from 1 species
AGCGAACGCUGGCGGCAGGCUUAACACAUGCAAGUCGAGCGCCUGUAGCAAUACAGGAGCGGCAGACGGGAGAGUAACACGUGGGAACGUACCCUUCAGUUCGGAACAACCCAGGGAAACUUGGGCUAAUACCGAAUACGUCCGUAAGGAGAAAGAUUUAUCGCUGAGGGAUCGGCCCGCGUCUGAUUAGCUAGUUGGUGAGGUAACGGCUCACCAAGGCGACGAUCAGUAGCUGGUCUGAGAGGAUGAUCAGCCUCAUUGGGACUGAGACACGGCCCAAACUCCUACGGGAGGCAGCAGUGGGGAAUAUUGGUCAAUGGACGCAAGUCUGAACCAGCCAUGCCGCGUGAAGGAUGAAGGCCUUCUGGUUGU